rnacentral:rRNA from 1 species
GACGGGGGGGUCCUAGCGUUGUUCGGAAUUAUUGGGCGUAAAGCGUGUGCAGGCUGUUUGAAAAGUUAGGUGUGAAAGCCUUGGGCUCAACCCAAGAAGUGCAUUUAAAACUAUCAAACUUGAGUACGGAAGAGGAUUGUGGAAUUCCAAGUGUAGUGGUGAAAUACGUAGAUAUUUGGAGGAACACCGGUUGCGAAGGCGGCAAUCUGGUCUAGUACUGACGCUCAUACACGAAAGCGUGGGGAUCAAACAGG